rnacentral:lncRNA from 1 species
AGAGAGAGAGCAAUAUGAAAAGGACACUAAGGAAAGGCUAUUCGAUAAUUUAAUCGACAUUGGAAUAAAAUUUAGUAGCUCAUUGAAAAAUAAUAUAUAUAUAUAUAAGAGUGAUAGAGAGAGAGAGAGAACAAUAUGAAAAGGACACUAAGGAAAGGUUAUUAGAUAAUUUAAUCGAUAUUGGAAUAAAAUUUAAUAGCUCCUUGUAAAACAAUAUAUAUAUAAGAGAGAGAGAGAGAGAGAGAGAGAGAGAGAGCAAUAUGAAAAGGACACUAAGGAAAGGCUAUUAGAUAAUUUAAUCGACAUUGGAAUAAAAUUUAAUAGCUCCUUGUAAAACAAUAUAUAUAUAUAAGAGAGAGAGAGAGAGAGAGAGAGAGAGAGAGAG